AACGAACGCUGGCGGCAUGCCUAACACAUGCAAGUCGAACGAGACCUUCGGGUCUAGUGGCGCACGGGUGCGUAACGCGUGGGAAUCUGCCCUCUGGUUCGGAACAAGAGUUGGAAACGACGGCUAAUACCGGAUAAUGACUUGGGUCCAACGGAUUAUCGCCUGAGGAUGAGACCGCGGCGGAUUAGCUUGUUGGUAGGGUAAAAGCUCACCAAGGCGACGAUCCGUAGCUGGUCUGAGAGGAUGAUCAGCCACACUGGGACUGGGACACGGCCCAGACUCCUACGGGAGGCAGCAGUGGGGAAUAUUGGACAAUGGGCGAAAGCCUGAUCCAGCAAUGCCGCGUGAGUGAUGAAGGCCUUAGGGUUGUAAAGCUCUUUUACCCGGGAUGAUAAUGACAGUACCGGGAGAAUAAGCCCCGGCUAACUCCGUGCCAGCAGCCGCCGUAAAAC
rnacentral:rRNA from 1 species